rnacentral:rRNA from 1 species
GGUGUCGCGGAAUGUGGUGUUUAGGAGGACCGUGCGCGUCUGUCCGGCAUCGUCCAAGUCUCCAUGAAUGGGGCCAGCAACCCAGAGAGGGUGUCAGGCCCGUAGGACUGAGCCGCGACGGCGUAUUGGGUCUCUCCUUAGAGUCGGGUUGCUUGAGAGUGCAGCCCUAAGUGGGAGGUAAACUCCUUCUAAGGCUAAAUACGGCCACGAGACCGAUAGCGAACAAGUACCGCGAGGGAAAGUUGAAAAGAACUUUGAAGAGAGAGUUCAAUAGUGCGUGAAACCGUUCAGGGGGUUAAACGGGUGGGCCCUCGAAGGUCGAACGCUCCCUACUCGCGUCUCCGCUCGUCGGUCCGUGCCGCUUUUCCGAUCUCGCUACGGGACGGAGCGGUGCGGUAACUGGUGCGAGCGGGGGCGUUUAGUUAGGGGGCCAGUAGGACUCCGCAACCGUCUGGAGCAGUCGUCAGAAGGGCCCUGGUAGAAAGCCUCCUCGCGGGGUGGACUCUGGGGUUCCGGGCGAUCUCUCCGGCCGUGAACCGGCAUUCCACUCGGCUGGCGUCCGUGACGAGCUUCCCCUUCACGGGGGGAGUUGUCGGUUGCGGGCGUCACCGGGGGACGCUAGCGGAGAGUAGUGUCGGGUCCCACCCGACCCGUCUUGAAACACGGACCAAGGAGUCUAACAUGUGCGCGAGUCGUCGG